rnacentral:rRNA from 1 species
AGGUUAAGCCCGAUGAACCUGAAUAUCCAUUAUGAAAAAUUCAUCAUUAUAACUAUCAAUAUUAUUUUAAUUUAUUUUAAAAUAUAUAUUGUUAUGUGAUAGUGUGCAUUUUUUUCAUAUAAGGACAUUGUGAUCUAUUAACAUAUAUAAAUAUUUUUCACAAAAUAACUAUCUUAUAGUUUAUUUGAAUUAUUUUGUUUUUUAACAUAUUAUCACAAAAUAAAUGCGCAUGAGUUGAUAAAAUGUGGAUA